rnacentral:lncRNA from 1 species
CUUUCAAUUUGUACUUUUGAUAUUUUUUCUUGUACUUUUUCAUUUGUCGUCUAAUACUGUCUGUUAUCCAUGGUAAAUUUUUGCUGUUUCUCAUCAUUUUCUGUGGUAUGUUCUCAGUGAUAGUGUUUUGUAAUGAGUUUUUAAAUAUUAACCAAAGUGUGUUUGUAUCUUCACUAUCUUUUUUAUGUAUGAUCUUUUGAUAUAUUUCAUCUAUAUCUUCUUUUAUUUUUUGCCAGUUUGCAUUUAUAUAUUUGUAUACUUUACGUGGCUUGGUUUGGCAUCUUUUUAAUGAAAGUAAACAUUCUAUAUAUAUACAAUAUCAUGG